rnacentral:rRNA from 1 species
ACGAACGCUGGCGGCGUGCUUAACACAUGCAAGUCGAACGGAAAGGCCCUGCUUGCAGGGUACUCGAGUGGCGAACGGGUGAGUAACACGUGGGUGAUCUGCCCUGCACUUCGGGAUAAGCCUGGGAAACCGGGUCUAAUACCGGAUAGGAGCCAUUUUUAGUGUGAUGGUUGGAAAGUUUUUUCGGUGUAGGAUGAGCUCGCGGCCUAUCAGCUUGUUGGUGGGGUAAUGGCCUACCAAGGCGGCGACGGGUAGCCGGCCUGAGAGGGUGGACGGCCACAUUGGGACUGAGAUACGGCCCAGACUCCUACGGGAGGCAGCAGUGGGGAAUAUUGCACAAUGGGCGCAAGCCUGAUGCAGCGACGCCGCGUGGGGGAUGACGGCCUUCGGGUUGUAAACUCCUUUCGCUAGGGACGAAGCUUUUUGUGACGGUACCUAGAUAAGAAGCACCGGCUAACUACGUG